UUUACUUCCGUUAUAACAAGAUAGUCACUCCACUGGAAAUCUUACAACAAGGAAAGGCUACUAGAUGGAGAACACAAGAGAAGGAAAAAAGCCACAGAUGCCAUAUCAAUUGUUUAAGAUCAUAUGGACGGUGAACUGAAUUUCAUAGAAUAUCCAACAGACCCAAACUUAUGACUCAGAGCUUGCGAGGUGUCGUUAAGUAAAGGAUCACGGGAGCAAAUAAAAUCAACGACAUGUCUCAUGUUAGUCCAACUCGUUCUACCAGUGAGAAAGCAUGGACCUCAGAAAGAAGUCUUAUUUCUGAAGGAAAAGAGACUACAAAUACAAACGCUUCACUGCUUAUGAACGAGUUAUAUUCUGAAUGACUAUUUGAAAGCAGAAGCGGACUUGGGUGACAGUAAUCAUGAAGUCAGCUAUGCUAACAGACUGCAGUUCCUCCUUAACCUUCCUUCAUAAUACAGUGCUCGUCAUGUAAGCUGUGGGUAAGGAGUUAUUGCCCUCUUAUCUCCCGGUAUUGCAUUGGAUUGCAGACUUUUGCGGGAAAUUGGAUUACGGAUUGGAUUGUUCUUGGUGGAUUGUAAGAUUGAUAUUGUUGAUGGCCCGGAACAAACCUUGAUUGUGGAAGAUUGUGACCAAGGAUUAAGAUUGAUAUUGAUUGAUGACGACGACUAUGGCUGGACCUUGGAAUUGAGAGUGGAAUUGUUCUUGGAGGAUAGAUGUUCCUUAGUUGACGACUGGAACGAAUUUGGAUUGCUCUUGACUGCAGAUAGUACGAUUGACGUGGAAGUACCGUUGGCCACGGUACUGUGGCUCAAGUGCCAUAGUUGGAGUGCUGGAGGCACUAUUGGCCUAUAAGGCCACAUAUAUGUCAUAUAAUCUUGGGUUGAGAGUUCGUUUAUGUUAGGUUGUGGGUUUAUUUUUGUUAUUGGUUGUUAAGCGUUGUAUGUUAGGAAAUAUAGU